GGUACUGUAGGCAAAUUGGUAAAGCCACCUGUCUUUCAUGCAGGAAUUUGCGGGUUCAACCCCCGUCAGCACUU
rnacentral:tRNA from 1 species